UACGAAGGGGGCUAGCGUUGUUCGGCCUUACUGGGCGUAAAGCGCGCGUAGGCGGACUUUCAAGUCUGUGGUGAAAUCCCGAGGCGCAACCUCGGAACUGCCUUUGAUACUGUGAGUCUUGCGCUCGGAAGAGGUGGGUGGAAUUCCUAGUGUAGAGGUGAAAUUCGUAGAUAUUAGGAAGAACACCAGUGGCGAAGGCGGCCCACUGGUCAGAUGCUGACGCUGAGGUGCGAAAGCGUGGGGAGCAAACAGG
rnacentral:rRNA from 1 species